UACGUAGGGGGCAAGCGUUGUCCGGAGUUACUGGGCGUAAAGGGCACGCAGGCGGUUGUGUCAGUUUGCGGGGACAGUGGGUGGCUUAACUACCCAAGGGUCGCAAAGACGGCACGACUGGAGAGCGAGAGAGGGACCUGGAACUCCGGGUGGAGCGGUGAAAUGCGUAGAGAUCCGGAAGAACACCACUGGCGCAGGCAAGGUCCUGGCUCGUAUCUGACGCUGAGGUGCGAAAGCUAGGGGAGCGAACGGG
rnacentral:rRNA from 1 species